rnacentral:rRNA from 1 species
GAUGAACGCUAGCUACAGGCUUAACACAUGCAAGUCGAGGGGAAACGACAUCGAAAGCUUGCUUUUGAUGGGCGUCGACCGGCGCACGGGUGAGUAACGCGUAUCCAACCUGCCCAUCACUUGGGAAUAACCUUGCGAAAGUAAGACUAAUACCCAAUGACAUCCCCCGAAGACAUCUGAAUGGGAUUAAAGAUUUAUCGGUGAUGGAUGGGGAUGCGUCUGAUUAGCUUGUUGGCGGGGUAACGGCCCACCAAGGCAACGAUCAGUAGGGGUUCUGAGAGGAAGGUCCCCCACAUUGGAACUGAGACACGGUCCAAACUCCUACGGGAGGCAGCAGUGAGGAAUAUUGGUCAAUGGGCGAGAGCCUGAACCAGCCAAGUAGCGUGCAGGAUGACGGCCCUAUGGGUUGUAAACUGCUUUUAUAAGGGAAUAAAGUGGGUCUCGUGAGACUUUUUGCAUGUACCUUAUGAAUAAGGACCGGCUAAUUCCGUG